rnacentral:rRNA from 1 species
UGGUUGUCGUCAGCUCGUGUCGUGAGAUGUUGGGUUAAGUCCCGCAACGAGCCGCAACCCUCGACCUUAGUUGCCAGCAUUCAGUUGGGCACUCUAAGGUGACUGCCGGCUAAAAGUCGGAGGAAGGUGGGGAUGACGUCAAGUCCUCAUGGCCUUUAUGCUUAGGGCUACACACGUGCUACAAUGGGUGGUACAAAGAGAAGCCAACUCGCGAGAGCGCGCCAAUCUCAAAAAGCCAUCCUCAGUUCGGAUUGGAGUCUGCAACUCGACUCCAUGAAGUUGGAAUCGCUAGUAAUCGCGCAUCAGCAUGGCGCCGAUCGAAUACGUUCCCGGGCCUU